AUCAACUCUUUGUGCUUCAUACAAUUCAAGAUACCACUUCUACGACAAUGAUUCCACAGACAUGGAGGAAAUCAUGAUUUGCACAGAUAUAACUGACUUUCUGCCAAAGAGAGAACCUAAGAAGACCCGAUGGCUAGGUUUCGUGGAGUGCUUCGAAUUUUUGAAAUCUCUAGUUAGCUAAUGAUUUCAAUUUCACAACACGGUUCUCCUCUCUCAUUCUUGUUAUUAUUUUUUUUUUUUUACCUUUUAUCUUGUUAUACAGUAAUAUAAGGGAACAAAUGAAUGGUGUGUAAAUGGUUAUCAAUGUCUUUUAACUCAAUAUAUUCAUGUUUCCUUAGGAAGAGUAUAUCCUAGAUGUCAAAUCAGGCAAGAAAUAACAAGAAUCAACUCAUGGAAUCACAAAACAUUACAUAGGAUUCAACCUAGAACAUUGGGUUUUGGAGACUGACGUGAAAUUAGAAUGAAAUAACAAGUGACACCCGAACUAAAUUACAGUAAUCUCAUUACUUAGGGAUUCAAUCUAGGACAUCGGUUUUGGAGAGCCAUGAAAAAUUAGAAAGAAAUAACAAGUGAAACCACAUUAUGCAUGAUUCAACAUACAUCUGGUCUUGGAGAUUCACUGUAUGAAAUCAGGCAAGAAAUAACAAGUGAAACCCAAGUUGUGAAAUCAUGCAAGAAAUAACGGGAAUGGAUGGAUCAUGGAAUCAUGCUAUGUAGAAUUUAAUCUAUAGGACAUUGAGUUUUUGAAACUCAGUUUCAACACUUUCUAACAGCAAAGGAUUCCUGUCUUCAUGCUUGUCUCUUUAUUGUGCCCAACCUAAGAAAGUACAGGAGUCAACGCUCC
rnacentral:lncRNA from 1 species